UGGAUCCAGACUUUGAUUAUGGCUCAGGAUGAACGCUAGCUACAGGCUUAACACAUGCAAGUCGAGGGGCAGCAUGAUUGAAGCUUGCUUCAAUUGAUGGCGACCGGCGCACGGGUGAGUAACACGUAUCCAACCUUCCGUACACUCAGGGAUAGCCUUUCGAAAGAAAGAUUAAUACCUGAUGGUAUCUUAAGCACACAUGUAAUUAAGAUUAAAGAUUUAUCGGUGUACGAUGGGGAUGCGUUCCAUUAGGUAGUAGGCGGGGUAACGGCCCACCUAGCCUACGAUGGAUAGGGGUUCUGAGAGGAAGGUCCCCCACAUUGGAACUGAGACACGGUCCAAACUCCUACGGGAGGCAGCAGUGAGGAAUAUUGGUCAAUGGACGAGAGUCUGAACCAGCCAAGUAGCGUGAAGGAUGAAGGUCCUACGGAUUGUAAACUUCUUUUAUAAGGGAAUAAAACCUCCCACGUGUGGGAGCUUGUAUGUACCUUAUGAAUAAGCAUCGGCUAACUCCGUGCCAGCAGCCGCGGUAAUACGGAGGAUGCGAGCGUUAUCCGGAUUUAUUGGGUUUAAAGGGAGCGCAGACGGGUCGUUAAGUCAGCUGUGAAAGUUUGGGGCUCAACCUUAAAAUUGCAGUUGAUACUGGCGUCCUUGAGUGCGGUUGAGGUGUGCGGAAUUCGUGGUGUAGCGGUGAAAUGCUUAGAUAUCACGAAGAACUCCGAUUGCGAAGGCAGUACACUAAGCCGUAACUGACGUUCAUGCUCGAAAGUGUGGGUAUCAAACAGGAUUAGAUACCCUGGUAGUCCACACGGUAAACGAUGGAUACUCGCUGUUGGCGAUAUACGGUCAGCGGCUUAGCGAAAGCGUUAAGUAUCCCACCUGGGGAGUACGCCGGCAACGGUGCAACUCAAAUGAAUUGACGGA
rnacentral:rRNA from 2 species